GACGAACGCUGGCGGCGUGCCUAAUACAUGCAAGUAGAACGCUGAAGGAGGAGCUUGCUUCUGUGGAUGAGUUGCGAACGGGUGAGUAACGCGUAGGUAACCUGCCUGGUAGUGGGGGAUAACUUUUGGAAACUAGAGCUAAUACCGCAUAAGAGUAGAUGUUGCAUGGUAUUGGUUGAAAAGUUUCGAUGGCAUCACUAGGAGUUGGAGCUGCGUUGUAUUGGGGAGUUGGUGGGGUAUAGGCUCACCAUGGCGAGGAUACGUAGCGCACCGGCGAGGGUGGUCGGCCGCCCUGGGAGUGGGACCCGGCCCAGACUCCUACGGGAGGCGGCAGUAGUGAAUCUGCAGCCAUGGGCGGAAGUCUGACCGAGAUAGGCCGCGUGCGUGAAGAAGGAUUUCGGAUCGUAGAGCUCUGUUGUCAGAGAAGAAAGAGUGUGAGAGUGGAAAGUACACACUGUGACGGUAACUUAUCAGGAAGCGACGGCUAACUACGUG
rnacentral:rRNA from 1 species